rnacentral:lncRNA from 1 species
AUUUGUAAGAGGCGCAGCAUAACAUGGCAUAGGCCAUGUCCAGCUCGAGACAAUGUAAAAUGUGAAAACCAUUGCAUCAAUAAGGAACACGCAUUGAUUGGGUCUUGUCAGCCUAAUGAUGAUAGCUUCGAACUUUAUUGCUUCUGUUACUUCGGCUGCUGACAAAAUCAACACUACCUUUCUGUUCAACCAAUGUUAUUCUGUUUGUAAUAAUUUUAAUGUAAUAAGAGAUAUUUAUAAGAUACAUUUGAAUCAACAAAAAUUAACGUAAAUGGUUCAAAAAUUGAUCCAU